rnacentral:rRNA from 1 species
ACAGGGAUUGCUUGCAAUCCGCUGACGACCGGCGCACGGGUGCGUAACGCGUAUGCAACCUACCUUCUACAGGGGGAUAGUCAAUAGAAAUGUUGAAUAAUACCCCAUACGAUCAUGAAUUGGCAUCAAUUUAUGAGGAAAGUUCCGGCGGUAGAAGAUGGGCAUGCGUCCUAUUAGUUAGUUGGUAAGGUAACGGCUUACCAAGACAUCGAUAGGUAGGGGUCCUGAGAGGGAGAUCCCCCACACUGGUACUGAGACACGGACCAGACUCCUACGGGAGGCAGCAGUGAGGAAUAUUGGACAAUGGAGGCAACUCUGAUCCAGCCAUGCCGCGUGCAGGAAGACGGCCCUAUGGGUUGUAAACUGCUUUUAUACAGGAAGAAUGGUACCUACGUGUAGGUAUUUGACGGUACUGUACGAAUAAGGAUCGGCUAACUCCGUGCCAGCAGCCGCGGUAAUACGGAGGAUCCAAGCGUUAUCCGGAAUCAUUGGGCUUAAAGGG